CCUAGAGAGAGAAAGUAUAUUUUUCAUUCUCCCCCUACACUUCUGUCAAGUGUGAUUGAGAGAAGGAAAAUCGCACUGUCUUUCGCAGCGAUGGGUUGUUUUGGAUCCAAAGGCGCCAUUUCCAAUUCCUCGCAGGAACUUCAGGAACCUCAAUUUCCGAGGAGAACUUUCCGCCUCCGGCCGUGGGACCCUACACAACUCCGAAGAAUGAAAUCUCAUCCAGACCACUCGGCUCUGCCACAGGAAUUAUCCUAUCCAGACAGCGGAUUAGCUGUUAGAUUGGAGCCUUCGACGGACACAGAAAACGUCCCCAGAAAGCGACCAUUUCUUGCUGGCAGGUUUUCUCGUGGACUCCGAGAUGAAUCUAAGACUGGUCACACCCCGAGUGAUCAUACACCUAAACAUCGAGACUGCCACGGCGAAUCUGGCGAGACUGUAUUGUUGAAGGUACCAAAUGCGGGCAAGGACUGUUUUGUUGUCCGCGCAGGGGAUGGAUCAAACAGGCUUUUGGUCAAGAGCGGAGAUCCAAGACAAGAUGGAGGAGUGUUUCAGAUGUAUACUAACACCGGAACCGCCGCUGUCGCUUUCCAAGUAGUUAACGUGAUUACUGAGUCAACUGGGGUUGUAUACCAAAAGCACCCCGAAUUCCUCGGUAUUUCGUUAAAAUCUACCCCUGAGUGCCUCUGUCAAUACACUUGGCAGAUGCGACCUGCCACUAUACCCGUUCCUCCUCCCGUGGAUGCUGCAAAGGCGCUUGAGUCAAGUGAUACGCACUUCUUGAUGGGCGACAUUCACUUGAACGCAGGUCUGGUUUCCCCUAAGUACUUAUGGCCGUCAAUAGGAAAUAAGGAAAUCAAUCUUCAAGUCAUGAAGAGCCAAGUUCCCAAUGAAGGCUCAGAAUUGGUUUUCGCCACAGCCACACAGUUCGCUAUGACGGCACAGUUUCAAGUCGUUGACAUAGAAAAUUACGUUGCACCAUCACACGCUGCCUGUGACAUUCCGGGCAACUUGAAGUGAACGCGGAUUUCAAAAUUUGUAUUCUCCCUUUGGUUAUAUUUAGUGGAGCCAAAGGCAGUAGACAUGACUACAUCUCUCAAAGCGGAAUUCCUCAAAUCGUAAUGUUUUUUUCUGUUUAUCCCUACUGCUGCGCUCAUAAUUGUGAUCUGAGAAAGUAAGACUUAUUGCAUCCUGCAUCAGAAAAUUUACAGUGAAUGGCCAUAGUUCUCGCUGAAUUGGAACUUUAAGCUAAGUGUUUUUUGCAUCUCUAUUCUUCUCUCGGAAAUGUGCCCCUCGCCCCCCCCCCCCUCCCCAGUUUUGGUAUAAGUAAUGACACCGUGAUCUAUCGUUUUAGCCCGUUUACAGCUAUCUUUCCACGUACAUGUG